UCCCGUACUUCUUACAAUUGCGAUGGGGGGACGGAGAAGGCUAGGUGGGCCUGGCGACGGUUGUCCAGGUUCAAGUGCGUAGGCUUAAGAGUUAGGUAAAUCCGGCUCUUUCUAAGGCUGAGACACGACGUCGAGCACCUACGGGUGUGAAGUCAUUGAUGCCAUGCUUCCAGGAAAAGCCUCUAAGCUUCAGAUUGUAAGGAAUCGUACCCCAAACCGACAC
rnacentral:rRNA from 1 species